AAACUUAAAGGAAGUUGACGGGGCCCGCACAAGCGGUGGAGCAUGUGGUUUAAUUCGACGCAACGCGAAGAACCUUACCUGGGUUUGACAUCCUUUGACCGCCCUGGAAACAGGGUUUAUCCGAUUCGUCGGAACAGAGUGACAGGUGCUGCAUGGCUGUCGUCAGCUCGUGUCGUGAGAUGUUGGGUUAAGUCCCGCAACGAGCGCAACCCUUGUCUCUAGUUGCCAGUAUUAAGUUAGGGACUCUAGAGAGACUGCCUCGGUUAACGGGGAGGAAGGUGGGGAUGACGUCAAAUCAUCAUGCCCCUUAUGACCUGGGCUACACACGUGCUACAAUGGUUGGUACAACGAGUUGCGAGUCGGUGACGGCGAGCUAAUCUCUUAAAGCCAAUCUCAGUUCGGAUUGUAGGCUGCAACCCGCCUACAUGAAGUCGGAAUCGCUAGUAAUCGCGGAUCAGCACGCCGCGGUGAAUACGUUCCCGGGCCUU
rnacentral:rRNA from 1 species